rnacentral:lncRNA from 1 species
AUAAACAUAGACUUUCUGAAAAUAAAAAUGGAUCAUAAGAUUGAACCAACCGAAUAUAAAAUUUUCAAGUAUGCAUUUGACAUAAGACACAAUUGCUAUUUUCAUGAGAAAUGUGUACCAUUUAGAUGAGCAAAAUCAUAAAAAAGUAGACUUUAUGGAAAUCAAAAUUGUUCUUGAGAUUAAAUCAAUAAUGGAGUUAUAAAGUCGACUACAUUUAACAUAAGACACAACUAUCAUUGCCAGAAAAAAGGCUUUAGCCAACGAAAAUAAAAAAAACCAGGCCGACGAAUUAUUUUUCAUCGGCUAAAGUGGACUUUAGCCGACGAAAUUUCCCUUUGUCGGUUAAUUUAAAAUUUUCGUCGGCUAUGGUCAACUUUAGCCGACGAAAUUAAAAUUUCCUCGUCUGAAUAAUUUUUUUCGUCGGCUAUAGUCUGUGAACUUUAGCCGACGAAAUUUUUAAAAGUUUAGCCGACGAAAAAUAUAAUUUUGUCGGCUAAAGUAUUUAAAUAUCUGCAGAUCUAGACAACAACUCAUCUGGGAAAAAAAAAACUAUACGUAGAACCUUCAAACGAAAAAAAGUCGUGAAGUAAGAUAUGACCAGAAUGGUGAAAUACGUCUACGGUUGAAAAAUCACGGUAUUCCGGUAAAGUCUCGGUGCCGUUAGUUACGGUCAAUGCAAUUUACCCUUAUUAUUCACUAUGCUGCAGAUUUGGUUUUUGAUGUCCGAUUGACUAUUGUGAUACCUUUCCGGAAGCAUAACGGCACUACGAGUCAAACUCAUCGCUAUGCCAUGACAUAUGGGCAUUUUUGGCCAUCCGAGUCCGUUUAGGGCUUCAAAAUGCAGUUUUCUUAUUUCUAAUUAGAGUUGACCGUUUCGAUCGAGCCCUUAACGUUGUCGAAUCCAGUUGAAUUUUUUACCAUAGACAUCUUUCAUCAUAAUGAUCAUAUCUGACUAUCGAAUUUUGGUUUGUAAAUUUUAGUUAUCGGAAUCACAACGUGUCUACUAUUUACCGUUAUUAUUCCCUAUGGGGAGCCCUAUCGUCGGAAGGUAAAUGUCUUAAAAUUUUUAUAUGGGCAGUUGCGUCUCUUCUACGUGAGAGUUUUUCGUGUGGAAGGUUUGACCAAACUACGUAAUAUAGUGGGACAUAUGAGCGUUUUCGUGUGAUAAGUGACAAUGGAUUAGGGUUGACCGUUUCGAUCGAGCCCUUAACAUUGUCGGAUCCAGUUGAAUUUUUUACCAUAGACAUCUUUCGUCAUAAUGAUCAUAUCUGACGAUCGAAUUUUGAUUUGUAAAUUUUAGUCAUCGGAAUCACAACGUGUCUACUAAUGUUGUAUAACUUGUUUAGUAGGUUAUACAACUUUGUGAACCAACUCUACAUAGGAAGCAAAAUUAUCAAAAAUCUCGUCAAAUAAGAUGUGUUCAGAAUGGUGAAAUACGACGAUGGUUCAAAAAUCACGUAAAUCGGGUAACGUCUCGGUGCCGAUAGUAACGGUCAACUCUAUUUACAAUUAUUAUUCCCUAUGGGGAGCCCUAUCGUUGGAAGGUAAAUGUCUCAAAAUUUUUAUAUAGACGGUUGCGUCUCAUCUACGUGAAAGUUUUUCGUGUGGAAGGUUUGACCAAACUACGUAAUAUAGAGGGAGAUAUGAGCGUUUUCGUGAAUUUAUAGAUUUUAGCCGACGAGAUAUUAAAAAAGUCGUCGGCUAAGGUCAAAAUUUUUUUGGCGGUGAACCAAAUUUGGAGAAAAAUUUUCAAAGGACUUUAGCCGACGAAAAUAUAUGAAAAGUCGUUGGCUAAAGUCGAAAAUUUUCAACCAAAAUUUUUUGGCAGUCAACUAAAAUUUUCAAAAGAGUUUAGCCGACGAAAAUAAAGAAUUUCGUCGGGUAAAGUUCUUUAUAUAGGAGUUUUACCGGAGGUGGAUGGUAAGAAGUCAAAAAAUCAGAAAAAGUUCCGAAUUUUCUUCUCGGACUAACUCCGCCGUCAAGCAACCGGAGACCACCACACUUGUCCCAAAAGCUUCGUCGUCGUCUCUACUUCAUUGCUGGACAGGUGGUGCAUCGAGUGGCACCACCGUGAGGGAUAAAUCGAGCUCCAAAACUCCGUCGGUUCGGAUUCGGUGUCGAUCGAAUUUCUCCUUCCUUAGGUCACCAUUUUGGUGAGUUCUAUAUAUGGAUAAGUUGAGUUUGAUUAGUACUACAUUCCCCUAGAAUUUGGUAGCUCGAUUCGGUGUGUGUGAGGAGAAUCAAANNN